GACGAACGCUGGCGGCGUGCUUAACACAUGCAAGUCGAACGGAAAGGCCCUGCUUUUGUGGGGUGCUCGAGUGGCGAACGGGUGAGUAACACGUGAGUAACCUGCCCUUGACUUUGGGAUAACUUCAGGAAACUGGGGCUAAUACCGGAUAGGAGCUCCUGCUGCAUGGUGGGGGUUGGAAAGUUUCGGCGGUUGGGGAUGGACUCGCGGCUUAUCAGCUUGUUGGUGGGGUAGUGGCUUACCAAGGCUUUGACGGGUAGCCGGCCUGAGAGGGUGACCGGCCACAUUGGGACUGAGAUACGGCCCAGACUCCUACGGGAGGCAGCAGUGGGGAAUAUUGCACAAUGGGCGGAAGCCUGAUGCAGCAACGCCGCGUGCGGGAUGACGGCCUUCGGGUUGUAAACCGCUUUCGCCUGUGACGAAGCGUGAGUGACGGUAAUGGGUAAAGAAGCACCGGCUAACUACGUGCCAGCAGCCGCGGUGAUACGUAGGGUGCGAGCGUUGUCCGGAUUUAUUGGGCGUAAAGGGCUCGUAGGUGGUUGAUCGCGUCGGAAGUGUAAUCUUGGGGCUUAACCCUGAGCGUGCUUUCGAUACGGGUUGACUUGAGGAAGGUAGGGGAGAAUGGAAUUCCUGGUGGAGCGGUGGAAUGCGCAGAUAUCAGGAGGAACACCAGUGGCGAAGGCGGUUCUCUGGGCCUUUCCUGACGCUGAGGAGCGAAAGCGUGGGGAGCGAACAGGCUUAGAUACCCUGGUAGUCCACGCUGUAAACGGUGGGUACUAGGUGUGGGGUCCAUUCCACGGGUUCCGUGCCGUAGCUAACGCUUUAAGUACCCCGCCUGGGGAGUACGGCCGCAAGGCUAAAACUCAAAGGAAUUGACGGGGCCCCGCACAUGCGGCGGAGCAUGCGGAUUAAUUCGAUGCAACGCGUAGAACCUUACCUGGGUUUGACAUGGAUCGGGAGUGCUCAGAGAUGGGUGUGCCUCUUUUGGGGUCGGUUCACAGGUGGUGCAUGGCUGUCGUCAGCUCGUGUCGUGAGAUGUUGGGUUAAGUCCCGCAACGAGCGCAACCCUUGUUCACUGUUGCCAGCACGUUAUGGUGGGGACUCAGUGGAGACCGCCGGGGUCAACUCGGAGGAAGGUGGGGAUGACGACAAGUCAUCAUGCCCCUUAUGUCCAGGGCUUCACGCAUGCUACAAUGGCUGGUACAGAGAGUGGCGAGCCUGUGAGGGUGAGCGAAUCUCGGAAAGCCGGUCUCAGUUCGGAUUGGGGUCUGCAACUCGACCUCAUGAAGUCGGAGUCGCUAGUAAUCGCAGAUCAGCAACGCUGCGGUGAAUACGUUCCCGGG
rnacentral:rRNA from 1 species